AUUGAACGCUGGCGGCAGGCCUAACACAUGCAAGUCGAACGAGCGGCGGACGGGUGAGUAAUGUAUGGGAAUCUAGCUUAUGGAGGGGGAUAACUACGGGAAACGGUAGCUCAUACCGCAUACCAUAGGAUGAGCCCAAUGGGGAUUAGAUAGUUGGUGGGGUAAAGGCUCACCAAGCCGACGAUCUCUAGCUGGGCUGAGAGGAUGACCAGCAACACUGGGACUGAGACACGGCCCAGACUCCUACGGGAGGCAGCAGUGGGGAAUAGUGCGCAAUGGGGGCAACCUGACGCAGCCAUGCCGCGUGAAUGAAGAAGGCCUUCGGGUUGUAAAGUUCUUUCGGUAGCGAGGCGUUAACUACAGAAGAAGCACCGGCUAACUCCGGGCCAGCAGCCGCGGUAAUAC
rnacentral:rRNA from 1 species